rnacentral:rRNA from 1 species
AAUAGAUACCCGGGUAGUCCACGCCGUAAACGAUGAGUGCUAAGUGUUAGAGGGUUUCCGCCCUUUAGUGCUGCAGCUAACGCAUUAAGCACUCCGCCUGGGGAGUACGGUCGCAAGACUGAAACUCAAAGGAAUUGACGGGGGCCCGCACAAGCGGUGGAGCAUGUGGUUUAAUUCGAAGCAACGCGAAGAACCUUACCAGGUCCUGACAUCCUCUGACAACUCUAGAGAUAGAGCGUUCCCCUUCGGGGGACAGAGUGACAGGUGGUGCAUGGUUGUCGUCAGCUCGUGUCGUGAGAUGUUGGGUUAAGUCCCGCAACGAGCGCAACCCUUGAUCUUAGUUGCCAGCAUUUAGUUGGGCACUCUAAGGUGACUGCCGGUGACAAACCGGAGGAAGGUGGGGAUGACGUCAAAUCAUCAUGCCCCUUAUGACCUGGGCUACACACGUGCUACAAUGGAUGGUACAAAGGGCUGCAAGACCGCGAGGUCAAGCCAAUCCCAUAAAACCCAUUCUCAGUUCGGA